rnacentral:rRNA from 1 species
CCUACGGGAGGCAGCAGUGAGGAAUAUUGGUCAAUGGGCUUACGCCUGAACCAGCCAAGUCGCGUGAGGGAAGACUGCCCUAUGGGUUGUAAACCUCUUUUGUCAGGGAGCAACUCCGGCUACGUGUAGCCGGACUGAGAGUACCUGAAGAAAAAGCAUCGGCUAACUCCGUGCCAGCAGACGCGGUACUACGGAGGAUGCGAGCGUUAUCCGGAUUUAUUGGGUUUACAGGGUGCGUAGGCGGAAUGCCAAGUCAGCGGUAAAAUCGCGGGGCUCAACCUCGCUCCGCCGUUGAAACUGGCGUUCUUGAGUGGGCGAGAAGUAUGCGGAAUGCGUGGUGUAGCGGUGAAAUGCAUAGAUAUCACGCAGAACUCCGAUUGCGAAGGCAGCAUACCGGCGCCCAACUGACGCUGAAGCACGAAAGCGUGGGUAGCGAACAGGAUUAGAUACCCCGGUAGUC